GACGAACGCUGGCGGCGUGCUUAACACAUGCAAGUCGAACGGAAAGGCCCUGCUUUUGUGGGGUGCUCGAGUGGCGAACGGGUGAGUAACACGUGAGUAACCUGCCCUUGACUUUGGGAUAACUUCAGGAAACUGGGGCUAAUACCGGAUAGGAGCUCCUGCUGCAUGGUGGGGGUUGGAAAGUUUCGGCGGUUGGGGAUGGACUCGCGGCUUAUCAGCUUGUUGGUGGUGUAGUGGCUUACCAAGGCUUUGACGGGUAGCCGGCCUGAGAGGGUGACCGGCCACAUUGGGACUGAGAUACGGCCCAGACUCCUACGGGAGGCAGCAGUGGGGAAUAUUGCACAAUGGGCGGAAGCCUGAUGCAGCAACGCCGCGUGCGGGAUGACGGCCUUCGGGUUGUAAACCGCUUUCGCCUGUGACGAAGCGUGAGUGACGGUAACGGGUAAAGAAGCACCGGCUAACUACGUG
rnacentral:rRNA from 1 species